AACGAACGCUGGCGGCGCGCCUAAUACAUGCAAGUCGAACGAGAAUGUGUAGCAAUACACAUGUACAGUGGCGAACAGGUGAGGAAUACAUAGGUAACCUACCCUCGAGUGGGGAAUAACUAGCCGAAAGGUUAGCUUAUACCGCGUGCGCUUCCGGGCCUGCGGUUCCGGAAGGAAAGCGAUACCGUGGGUAUCGCGCUCUUGGAUGGGCUUAUGUCCUAUCAGCUUGUUGGUGAGGUAACGGCUCACCAAGGCUGCGACGGGUAGCUGGUCUGAGAGGACGAUCAGCCACACUGGCACUGCGACACGGGCCAGACUCCUACGGGAGGCAGCAGUAAGGAAUAUUGCGCAAUGGGCGACAGCCUGACGCAGCGACGCCGCGUGGGGGACGAAGGUCUUCGGAUUGUAAACCCCUUUCGGGAGGAAAGAUGGAACGGGUAACCGUUCGGACGGUACCUCCAGAAGCAGCCACGGCUAACUUCGUGCCAGCAGCCGCAGUAAAAC
rnacentral:rRNA from 1 species